UACGUAGGGGGCUAGCGUUGUCCGGAUUUAUUGGGCGUAAAGAGCGUGUAGGCGGCCAGAUAGGUCUGCUGUGAAAACUCGGGGCUCAACCUCGAGAUGUCGGCGGAAACCAUUUGGCUAGAGUCCGGAAGAGGAAAGUGGAAUUCCUGGUGUAGCGGUGAAAUGCGCAGAUAUCAGGAAGAACACCAGUGGCGAAGGCGGCUCACUGGUCCGCAACUGACGCUGAGGCGCGAAAGCGUGGGGAGCAAACAGG
rnacentral:rRNA from 1 species